rnacentral:rRNA from 1 species
UACGUAGGUGACGAGCGUUGUUCGGAUUUAUUGGGCGUAAAGGGUUCGUAGGAUGUUUAUUAAGAUUGGUGUGAAAUCCCAAGGCUCAACCUUGGAACUGCAUUGAUUACUGAUGAACUAGAGUAUCGUAGAGGAAAGUGGAAUUCCAGGUGUAGCGGUGGAAUGCGUAGAUAUCUGGAAGAACACCGACAGCGAAGGCAACUUUCUGGGCGAUAACUGACUCUGAGGAACGAAAGCAUGGGGAGCAAACAGG